rnacentral:rRNA from 1 species
CCUACGGGAGGCUGCAGUGGGGAAUAUUGGACAAUGGGGGGAACCCUGAUCCAGCCAUGCCGCGUGUGUGAAGAAGGCCCUCGGGUUGUAAAGCACUUUCAGUGAGGAAGAACGCCUGGUGGUUAAUACCCAUCAGGAAAGACAUCACUCACAGAAGAAGCACCGGCUAACUCCGUGCCAGCAGCCGCGGUAAUACGGAGGGUGCGAGCGUUAAUCGGAAUUACUGGGCGUAAAGCGCGCGUAGGUGGCUUGAUAAGCCGGUUGUGAAAGCCCCGGGCUCAACCUGGGAACGGCAUCCGGAACUGUCAAGCUAGAGUGCAGGAGAGGAAGGUAGAACUCCCGGUGUAGCGGUGAAAUGCGUAGAGAUCGGGAGGAAUACCAGUGGCGAAGGCGGCCUUCUGGACUGACACUGACACUGAGGUGCGAAAGCGUGGGUAGCAAACAGGAUUAGAUACCCUAGUAGUC